GUAGGUGGCAAGCGUUGUCCGGAAUUAUUGGGCGUAAAGCGCGCGCAGGGCGGUCCUUUAAGUCUGAUGUGAAAGCCCACGGCUCAACCGUGGAGGGUCAUUGGAAACUGGGGGACUUGAGUACAGAAGAGGAAAGCGGAAUUCCAAGUGUAGCGGUGAAAUGCGUAGAGAUUUGGAGGAACACCAGUGGCGAAGGCGGCUUUCUGGUCUGUAACUGGCGCUGAGGCGCGAAAGCGUGGGGAGCAAACAGGAUUAGAUACCCUGGUAGUCCACGCCGUAAACGAUGAGUGCUAAGUGUUAGGGGGUUUCCGCCCCUUAGUGCUGCAGCUAACGCGUUAAGCACUCCGCCUGGGGAGUACGGCCGCAAAGGCUG
rnacentral:rRNA from 1 species